GAUGAAGAACGUAGUAAAAUGCGAUACUUGGUGUGAAUUGCAGAAUCCCGUGAACCAUCGAGUUUUUGAACGCAAGUUGCGCCCGAAGCCUUUUGGCCGAGGGCACGUCUGCCUGGGCGUCACGCAUCGCGUCGCCCCCCACAAUUCUCCGUAAAGGGAACAUGUGUUUUGGGGGCGGAUAUUGGUCUCCCGUGCUCAUGGCGUGGUUGGCCGAAAUAGGAGUCCUUUCGAUGGACGCACGAACUAGUGGUGGUCGUAAAAACCCUCGUCUUUUGUCUCGUGCUGUUGCUCGCAAGGUAAACUCUUUAAAAACCCCAAUGUGUCGUCUCUUGACGACGCUUCGACCGCGACCCCAGGUCAGGCGGGACUACCCGCUGAGUUUAAGCAUAUCAAUAAGCGGAGGA
rnacentral:misc_RNA from 1 species